UGAGGAAUAUUGGGCAAUGGAGGCAACUCUGACCCACCCAUGCCGCGUGAGUGAAGAAGGUUUUCGGAUUGUAAACCUCUGUCCUGGGGGACGAAGGAAGUGACGUACCCCGGGAGGAAGCCCCGGCUAACUACGUGCCAGCAGCCGCGGUAAUACGUAGGGGGGCGAGCGUUGUCCGGAAUUAUUGGGCGUAAAGGGCGCGUAGACGGCCGAGUAAGUUAUAGGUGAAAGCCCAUCUUUCAAGGAUGGAAUUGCCUGUAAUACUGCUUGGCUUGAGUGUAGGAGAGGGAAGCGGAAUUCCUAGUGUAGCGGUGAAAUGCGUAGAUAUUAGGAGGAACACCAGUGGCGAAGGCGGCUUACUGGACGGUAACUGACGUUGAGGCUCGAAAGCGUGGGGAGCAAACAGGAUUAGAUACC
rnacentral:rRNA from 1 species